GAAAAGAACUUUGAAGAGAGAGUUCAAGAGUACGUGAAACUGAAGUGGUGUAAACGGACGAGUUCGAAAAGUCCGAAUGGUGAGAUUCAAGCUUACCGUGCCGGUGGCCCUCGGGUUCAGAUGGCGUCGUCAGCUCGGGCUUCGGUUCGGGUCAUACGGCGUCACUCGUCCUGGGGGUAUCUGUCUGGUGCGGUGGGCUGCACUUCUCGCCUAGUAGGACGUCGCGACCCGUUGGGAUGUUCCGUUCACUGGCCCUCGGUGGAGCCCGCGCCGGAGCGUGGCCUUGUGCCGCGUUGCUGUUUGCACGGACCCGGGGUGACCUGAUCGGCGCCCGACGGUAUCAAAGCUUGGGAAGAGGCCGCACAGAGGAUGCGUUCGAUGGCCGUUUCGGCCUACACUCGGACAGGCCUGCACCCGGUCAGCGGCGCUUCUGCUUUCGAUACUCGUCCGACCCGUCUUGAAAC
rnacentral:rRNA from 1 species